UAUGUGAUCGUCUCUCGCAUAUCAAUAAGCGGAGGAAAAGAAACUAACAAGGAUUCCCCUAGUAACGGCGAGUGAAGCGGGAAGAGCUCAAAUUUGAAAUCUUAAAGGGUUUCCCUUUACGAAUUGUAGUUUAAAGAAGUGUUUUCUGUUGAGGUUUUGGUAAAAGUUCUUUGGAAUAGGACAUCAUAGAGGGUGAGAAUCCCGUAUUUGACCUUUACUUUCAACUUUGUGAUACACUUUCAAAGAGUCGGAUUGUUUGGGAAUGCAGGUCCAAAAUGGGUGGUAAAUUUCAUCUAAAGCUAAAUAUUGGCGAGAGACCGAUAGCGAACAAGUACCGUGAGGGAAAGGAUGAAAAGAACUUUGAAAAGAGAGUUAAACAGUACGUGAAAUUGUCAAAAGGGAAGCGUUUGACACCAGUGUUGUUUUUCUGAAAAUCAAUUAAAGAACUGUUUAUGCUAAGCUGUUUAGACUUUAUCAGCUAUCUGUUUAGUUUUGAGCUUUUCUUUAAUGCACUUUUCAGUUAACAAGUCAACAUCAAUUUCUUUUGCUGUAAAAAAGCUUGAGGAAGGUGGCUUGAGAUUCGUCUUAAGUGUUUAUAGCCUCUUGCCUAUGCAGUCGGAGAGAUUGAGGUCUGCAGCGUAGAUCCUUCGGGGCUAAAUGCAUUUGUGCUAAGUUAUAGCAUUUUAUAGACAACUUGUUGACUAUGAUUUGUCUUGUAGCUUACUCGCUUAUGUUAUUUUACCUACGCUUAGGAUGUUGAGCGCAUGUCUCUCUCU
rnacentral:rRNA from 1 species